CUUUAAGACCCGUCCAAUUACCUACCAAAAUCAUACCCAUAUAUAGCUACUUAAGUUAGCUAUCAUGCACGAAACGACAAUUGAACAUACGUUUUGGUAUUCGGCGACCUUCUCUGAUCCUACCUCAUCCCGGCCGAUCGAUCCAAUCAAAUACGGAGUGCGUGUUACGGGUCGAGUAAUUUCAUCGCUUCAUUUAAUUAUUCGAUCUAGCUUCCACUGACGUACCACUUACACUUGGUACUACUAUUUGUCAAUUUUUCCCGACACCUACUUAAGAGUACUCGAACCAAAUAAACAAGUUAAGAAAAAGAAACAAUGGCUCCUACCACCAAGCUUGCCCUUACUCUUAUCUUCGGUAUUAUUGUAAUGUUGAUGGGAGGGAAAAUGGAGGUUGAAGCACAAAAUGGAAAAAUAUGUCCAUUUGUUUGCUACGAAACCGAAUACAUGAUAUGCCCAGGCAUGGGAAACAUUCCAGUUAAUGGAUGCAUGAAUUGUUGUCUUGCUCCCACUAAUGCUUGCGCUCUUUACCUUACCAAUGGCCAGACUAUGCAGUGCUAGGGCUAAUUGAUCAUUCUACCAAGUAUGCAAUAUAUGUUGUAAUAAAACCAGCUUAAUUGUAUCACUCUCUCCGUCUCAUAAUGUUACUUUUCACAUUUGCAUUUUA